AAAAGGAUUAAAAUUUUACCAUUUUUGAUGUAAUAAGUUUUUUGGUGAAACUAAUAUUUAUAGUUUACUCAAAUUACUUUCUUCCAAGUUCAUCAGUUCUGGGCAACUGACUAUAGCAUUCAUAUCUAGUGUCUUUGUUCCCUCUGGAAUUAGAUUGGUUUACCCUUUAGAAAAAGCAGUGAUUGAGAAUAAUCCUUAUUAGAUUCUAAAAUAUUUCUGUUAGGUCAGUGUUUCUGUAGUUAUUAAAGUCAUAUUUUUGUUGUUGUCCCCAUAGCACACCCAAGAUGCAAUCAAAGAUAUGAGUGGUUUUCUACUAAAAUGCUAUUGAUUAUUUUCAUAAAUUUGGUGACAAAAUAAUCCAAAUGUAAACAGCAAAUACAAGUUUCCUAACUUUUCUCCUCUUUAUGAAAUAUUUAAAAUCCUUACUUAAAGAAUAUUUGAAGCCCCAGAAUUUAUUAUAAUUUUGAGUUAGAAAAUACCCCAUUAACUAGAUGAAUAGGCCUUUUCUCACUAUUGAUCUCUUUCACUUUGAAUAAAUAAAAAACAAGGGCAUCUGCUUAUAUGUACCCAAAGCCUUGUGUGACUUCCAAGUACUGAAUUAUGUAUUCCAUAUAAAUGGAUUUUUUAUGGGUUAUUUUUCCAAUAUAAUUCCCAGCUGAAUUCAAUUUUCAUGUAAGUGAGGAAAUAGCUAUCUUCACUUAAGAUAGACAGCUGUGUAGGAUAUAAAGGAAAAUUAAUGCAUAUUAGUAAUAUAGAUGACCAAACAUCUCAUCCAUAUUUGGAUUAAUAUACUAGGAGAAGUGCUCACUCAUGUAGUUUAUGAAUGUGGUAAUCAAAUGUGACCAAAAUGCAGUGCACUAUAACAGAAAGUCUUGCAAAAUAAAAACAUGUUCAAGAUAGUUUAAAUAAACCCAUAAAUAUAUAGUAGUUUAAAAAAAGGAAAGUACAUGAUUUUAGUAGGACAUUUUUAUUUUCUGAGAACAAUGUUAUUAAGGGAAAUUGAUUAUUCUUAUUCUAUAAGAUGUCUUUUUGUUCUAUCAUAAAAUAAAAUAUGGUAUAAAUGAACUAUGGGUUUAGAAAAUAUGUCAUUUGAAAGUAUUCUAGAUUUCAAAAAAAGAAUAUAAUUUAUAAAAGUGAUUUUCCUGUUUGAUAUAACUUAUGUCCGUGUGCUUUUCUCUCAGUUCCCAGGUUUAUAGUUUUCCUUCUGAUGGGACAAUAUUUAACACUCGAUAUUUUUUAACAUCAUGAUAUUUGUAUUACAAUUACAUUACAAUAAAGUAUCAGUUUCCUUGUGAUAUAGGUUGUUAGUACUAUGAAAUCUAUCACUAAAUUUACUCCUUUUUCCUUAUUCAAAAUUUAUGUAACUACUCCCUUACAUAUAGAUUUAAUCAAUUUUACCAUCAUUGGCAAAUUAAUAUUCCAUUUUCUGUUAGGUACAUAUCCCCUUUAUAUAUUAGUAUGUUUUAUUAUAUAUCAUUUAUUUAAAUCUUUACUAUUGUCUUUAUAACUUUGGAUGAGGUAUUAAAUAAGUACAAUAACUUUCAAUAAUAUUUUACAUAUUAAAUAUAAUAUUUCUCAUGCAUCAGUUGCAGAGAUGAUGCCCAGAAUGUGUAUCUAGCAUCAUUGCUACUAAGUAAACUACAUGAUCACAUCAUAUUAUGUGUAUAAACUUUAUAGGUAAGUGGACACUUUGUUAUGCAGAGAGAACAUAAACUUCAGUUAUUAAAGCAGAUGUAUAACUGUGACUAUCAGAAAGGCAAUUUUGUUACAUUUUAAACAGUUUAAUGAGCAAAAUAAUGCAGAAUGCUUGAGAUACUCUUCUUUCAAAAAUAGAAAGUUAAUUCUAUAAAACUUGAAGGAUUAUUUGAGCUAUGUCUCCUGUAUUUUAUAUAGAAAGAGUUGUCCUGGUAUAAUGGUAAGAAUGGUUAAUGCUAACUUUAUGAAGGUAUUGUGGAAAAGUUAAACUGCUGUUCACAUAAAAAAUGUUCAUUAUGAAAUGGAAAAAAAAAAAAACCUGUUAUUUGUAAGUAAAAUUCUUUGUACCUUUUAAUCAUUUUAAAGAGAGCCCAAAUGAAGACUAAUAAUAUAAAUGAUACCAGUGAUUGAUAUUUAUAGAUGCUCCAGGCCAAGCACCAAUAAGCCCUUUCAGGAAGUCUUCAAUUUAAUAUGUGGUCAUGUUUGGGUCUACCAACAAUAGCUAAAAUUCUAGUGCCUAAAAAAGAUGACUCACAUUUUCAAAUACUUGGAAAAUUUAUGUAACUACAAUCUAUGCCUAUUUAAUUGAUUGUGUAUAUAUAGAUGGUUAACUCUUUGUCUCCUUUGGGCUCCUAACACUUUUUUGAUCAAAAAGCAAAAAAUUGAACACUCAGUUAAUUGAAAAAUCAUUGAGAAAUGCUCUUUUGUCAUGAUGGUAGAGUGAGCACAAGCUAUGAUGCAACUCUCUUGCAAUGAUGGAAAAAAUAUAAAGAGGGAGUGAGAAUUAAAAUCAAAGAGCUGGUAUGACUAACACAAUAUAUUCAUGGCCUAGUUAGAGAAAAGAAAAUUGGCAUGAAUACCUUCAAGAUUAGAGAAAAAUCCCAGUUUUUAUGACCAUGUCAGAAACUGAAAAUAUAAGAUUCAGUCACGCUAGCUCAGUUCAGACAUCUUAGUUUUGUUUACUCUCUGUGGCUAUUAGAGGAGAGGCGUAAGGAAUGAAGAAGGCCUGGGCAGCAGAGACAGAAGAUAAAAGCACAAGAUUGAAGCUUUCACAUCUUCCUGAUUACGCCACAGAGGUAUGGAUAAAAAUAGCUGUGUAACUUCAUAUGUAAAUAUUCAUCAAGUUAAAGAUUCAAAAAUAAAUUGCAAGACCAACAUUUUGUGGAUGCUCAGAGAGAAAAACCAUCUGAGAGAGCCAUUAUGAAGGCGGAAAGGCUAUAAAAUUUAUUCAAAAAUGGGGAUCUGAGCUUCACAUUUCUAACAUGAGACUGAGAAAUGUGCCAUCAUUUUUGUCUAUUAGGCUGCAAGGUUUGUGUACAUUAGCUUGGAAAUAAUGGUAACAAGACUCAUGUGGAAUGGACUUUGGGAAACCCUAAGUCACACAAAGUGUGGGUUGCUAGAAUCCCUCUGUUUUUAAGUUGAAGAUCUCUGAGGGGCAAUUUCCAGAUGCUGCCAGAAUG
rnacentral:lncRNA from 1 species